CCUACGGGAGGCUGCAGUGGGGAAUUUUGGACAAUGGGGGCAACCCUGAUCCAGCCAUGCCGCGUGAGUGAAGAAGGCCUUCGGGUUGUAAAGCUCUUUCGGCCGGGAAGAAAUCGCUCAAGCUAAUACCUUGGGUGGAUGACGGUACCGGAAGAAGAAGCACCGGCUAACUACGUGCCAGCAGCCGCGGUAAUACGUACGGUGCGAGCGGUAAUCGGAAUUACGCGGCGGAAACCAUACGCAGGAGGUGAAAUCCCCGGGCUUAACCUGGGAACUGCGUUUGUGACUGUGGUGCUCGAGUGCGGCAGAGGGGGGUGGAAUUCCACGUGUAGCAGUGAAAUGCGUAGAGAUGUGGAGGGACACCGAUGGCGAAGGCAGCCCCCUGGGUCGACACUGACGCUCAUGCACGAAAGCGUGGGGAGCAAACAGGAUUAGAUACCCUUGUAGUC
rnacentral:rRNA from 1 species